CAUGUUUCUGUUUUUUUUUUUUUUUUUUUAUUCUUGGGCAAGAACCGAUUCGCAGUCUUGAAGUACUGGUAGACUGCAGCGGUCAGGGCUGCUCCCACACGGGGGCCGGGGGGUGCAGGAGCCAAAGGAGACAGCACGGGAGGGGCAGGCUGGGAGCCCAUCUGGCUCUGUGCCGGAGGCUGCCCCUAGGUUUGGUUUUGUGACCUGAGGCACGACGGGCUGAGACUUGGUUAGUGACACAGGCCACGGGGACAAGAGAGCUGCCCGCCUGGCGGCCUCCUGGUUUGAUGACUCGAACACCCUGGAGCCACUUUUGCAGAACAACUACGACCACCGCUGGGAAUCAGUGCUCCACAGCACGCACUUUGGGAAAGGCGUGCCAUAGCAGCACGCGCCUGCGCGACGGAAGGCAGUGGGGAGAUGGCUCCAGACACUAAACACAGAAAUUCCAUACAAUCCUGCUCUCCCCGUUCUGGAUAUUUACCUGAAAAAUACAAAAAAACUAUUUUGAAGCUUCUUUACCCCCAUGUUGAUUGCAACAACCCUCAACAGCCAAGGACUGGAAGCCAACGCCACUGACAGAUGAGUGGAGAAAGAAGGUGAGUCUGCACGCACCCGGGGACGAUUCCUCAUCUCUAAGAACGGAUGCGGCCCUGCCAUUUGUGACAACACAGGCGGGCCUGGCAGGUGUGCACUAAGUGAAGUAAGGCAGGUAGAGAAAGUCAAAUACCCUGUGAUUUCACUCAUGUGCAAUAUGCAGACUCCAGACGAUAAAAUGAGCUGACUCAACAAAAAUUAAUGUUGGACUACAAAAAUUAAGGGAUAUGAAAAAGAGGAAAGAAAUAAACAGCAAAAGCAAACACACAUACUUAAACGGGAAGCCCUGGAGGUUACUUUUGAAAAAGACAUGUACACUGCACGCACCACCCCCCACGCCCCCACCCAGGGCUGGAGGGAAGGCCGGCACAGUGGAGAAGCUACAGAGAACACCAAGAAGGAGGCUGAGGACCUGGACGGGUAGUGGCGGAGCAAAGGGCUUCUCAACCUCAGCACUGGAAACAUUCUUUGGUGGGUGGAGGCGUGACCUCUGCCCACUGGAUGCCAGUGGCACCCACCCCAUAACUGUGUCAAUCACAGAAGUCUUCUAGACAUUGCAACUGUUCCCUGUGGGUGACCUCAGCCCGGGUUCAGAAUCACCGCAUGUGUCUGUCUGGGAUUUGAAGGUGCAGAAGAAAAGGGGGGAAGCAAACCCUGAGGCAGCAAACCCUUGUCUAAGACCGGCCAAUGGGCGUGUCUAAGGUGACCCGACUCCAAAGAGAGAAGCAGCCUCCGGCCCCAUCCGGCUACCUGGGGAAAAAGCUACUCUCAAGGCUGUGGUGGGCAUCCUUGUGACGAAACAUCAAGGCAGGCUGAGGCUUCUUGGCACGCACAGCCUGGGAAGCGCGCGGAGGCUGGCUGGUGCAGAGCAGCACGGGAAGGUGUCGCUCAGCAGAAGCUAACUGGCACUGUGAGCCUCUCCAGCUGCCUUGCAGUGACUGCCACGUCACAUCACUUCUAGACACAGUCCUCUGAGCCUUCCCUCAGAUGUCUCUCCCCGGCUCUACCGCAGGGCCCGCCUGGCUGUGCCCGCUGAGCACUGCACUGUGGCCCACAGGGGCCGCCAUCAGCUGACUGUGCCAACAGGCGCACGAUUUCUUUUUAAGUUUCCUCUUAGAAAUAAAGCAGGACUGUCAUGAUAGCCCUCAUCCUUAGAAUGAUUUCAAUGGGUUAUAUUAUUUAAUAUUGCCAACGACACGGGAUGAAAGAAUGCAACAGCUCACGUUGAGCAUGUGGGGACCGCUCACGUCUUCCUCUGCAUUGUUAUUUAUAACAACAAUCACCUUAAUUAUUGUUAAUGGAAUAAUUCCCUUUGGUCAAAUUUUAAUUUAGACAUCGUCCAGCUACAAUUCAAUCUUACACAGAUGGCGCCUCCGUACCACCAAAGUGAACAUUUGACAAAAGUUGUUACUUGAACCUGAAUACAUCUGCUAGAAGGCGUUAAUCACCUUGUAGUUUUGACAACAACGUAAAAGUGGAAUUAAGGAGAGGAAUAAGCUGAAAGCUAUGUGUUUGGGGCUGGUCACUGAAGAUGACACUGCAUUAUAAAUAGAGGAUUCUGCCCUUUAAUUUUCAUCUUUCGAAUCUCUUUAUCUCGUAGUCAAAUGUUUGCAUGAAUCAAAUCUUAAAUAUGGAGAAGCUUUUUUAUAAAAAAAAAAAAAAAGCACAAAUGUGCAACACAGCAUUUUCUAGAGACCAGAAUGAAUGCAGAACAACUUCCUAAACUGGAGUUAGAGCUGAAGUGACAGGCUCUGCACCAUUUCCUGGCCCAGACUGAGCAGGAGAGGUCACGCUGUCCCGAGCACAGGUCUCAGUGGCCUUGGGUGCACUUUCAUUUUGCCGCAGGGGAAGGAAUGAAGAAAGAGCUGCUCUCCGCAUUCUCCCGGGCAGGGCGCUCAUCACUUGGCAAGCCUGCUGCGUUCCUCCUUCCUCCGGCUGGAGGCAGCCCACGCAGAGCUGGGCCUCAGCGCCCUGGGGCU